rnacentral:misc_RNA from 1 species
UCUCCGUAGGUGAACCUGCGGAGGGAUCAUUACAGAGUUCAUGCCCUCCGGGUAGAUCUCCCACCCAUUGCUAUCACUACUCUCGUUGCUUUGGCGGGCCGUUGGGCCCUGCCCGGCCGCCGGCCCCGGCUGGCGCGCGCCCGCCAGAGACCUCACAGACUCUGUAUGUUAGUGUCGUCCGAGUAACUAUAUAAUCGUUAAAACUUUCAACAACGGAUCUCUUGGUUCUG